GAUCUCGGCUCACUGCAAGCUCCGCCUCCCGGGUUCAUGACAUUCUCCUGCCUCAGCCUCCCAAGUAGCUGGGACUACAGGCACCCACCACUAUGCGUGGCUAAUUUUGUUUUGCUUUGUUUUGUAUUAUUAGUAGAGACGGGGUUUCACCGUGUUAGCCAGGAUGGUCUCAUGUACAUACUAUGUAAUUGUCAAAUCAGGGUAUUUAGCAUAUCUAUUAUCAUACAUUUGUGUGUGUAUGUGUGUGUGUGUGGUAAGGUGAGAACAUUCUAAAUCCUCUCUUCUAGCUAUUUUGAAAUACACAGUGUAGUAUUUUUAACCACAGUCAUCCUACUUGUGCCAUAGCACAUCAGAACUUAUUUUCUCUAUCUUUGUAUUAAGAUUUUUCAUUGAGGGAUAAUUUGUAUACAGUAAAAUGCACAGCUCCUAAGUGAAGAUGAUAAGUUUUGGCAGUUGAAUACUUCCAAAUAACUACCACCCAAAUUAGAAUUUAGAACAUUUCCAUGACCAGGAUGCCUUCUUAUAGUCAGCCUCACCAUUUCUCAGCUUCUAGGCCACAACUUUCUGAUUCUAUUAUCGUAGAUUGUUUUUGCCCAUCCUUCUACUUCCUAUCAACAGAAUCAGGUGCACCUUUGCUUCUUUCAUUCACAUGAUGUGUUUGAGAUUCUUCUUUGUUGUUACAUAAAUCAGUUGCUUGUUUCUUUUUUUUGAUGAGUAGUAUUUCAUUCUGUUAAUAGACUGGAAUUUGUUUCUCCAUUUUCCAGUGGCUAACCCAUUUGCGUUAUUAAGUGUUUCGCUACAAAAAUAAUUUGGAUAUUCUUUACAGGCCAUCUCACAGUAGUGCAUCUUGGUUCUGUUCAUAUCUUCCUCAUUUUAAGGUGGGUAGUUUAUUUCCACUGACUCCAAAGUUUUGGUGUUUGAUUGCACUCUGUCUCCUUUGACUAAAAAUAUUCCUGUGUCACCUCUGAGGUCUAAGUGAAGCCUUCCUUUGUGCUCUGCAUCAUUCUCCAAACAACACGAGUAGUUAGACCUUUAAUAUUCAAUUUUCCAGUAUAAUGAAUUCCAUCUUCACACAUAUCUGAGAAAAUUACAUUGGAAGGUUAAUAUAUUGCCUUUUGCUGGGUUUCAGUGAAUACCUCACUGAAGGCAGAAGUCAGCCUGAAAUCCUUGGCAGACUCAUAUUCAUUCUUCUAGCCACCUGCAUCAGGUGCCGACCACACUCAUGCCUGGACAUGCCCUUGGCCCUGCCACUUUCAUACCGUAACCUAAACGCAUGAUGCCAAUGGCACAAUAUAGUUACUGCUUUAGACCUUGGCAGUAACUGCUGCUUUAGAGCUUGUUAGUAUCAAUGGUACUUAUAAAAUAUAUCAUCUACUUCACUCCAUUCCCCAUCCUCCUUGCACCUAAGCAGGGGCAUGUGACUACUUAUGGCGACUGGACUGUGGACAAAAACAUUAUUUUCAAAAAGAAGUACUGAAGAGUCACUCGUCGUUUUCCCUGCUGUGUGAUCACAGAAUAUGCUGAUGGCACAGCUACAAUAGGGCUUCUCAACUUUGAUACUACUGACAUCUAAAGCAGGUAAUUCUGAGUUGAGGUUAGGCAUGCGGGUGUCCUGUUCAAUUUAGGAGGCUUAGCAGUAUCUCUAGCCUACACCAACUAGAAGUCAGGGUUAUCCUCUCCAGUUGUGACAACAAAAAAUAUAUUUUGGCAUUGCCAAAUAUUAUCUGGGGGAGGAAAUUGCCCCAAUUUGCAGUCCAGAGAUCCAUCGAGCUACAAGAUAGUGAAGCCUCCAUCAGCGUGGUUCUCUGACAUGAUAAAUGGAGCUGAAUAUAUCUGUCAUCCAUACUGUGUAACAUAAGUGAUGUUAGAACACACCCUCCCAACAAACAUACACACAAAUAAAUACAAAAAAGGCAAAAACAAAAACGAUAAAAUUUUUUAUAUUAAGCCAAUGAGAUUUAGGAGUUGUUACUGCCAUAAAGCCUAUCCUGAUUAAUAAACACUCUAUAUGCACUUUUUCCAGACAAAUUUAUCAAUGUGUGUUGUUUCAAUU
rnacentral:lncRNA from 10 species